CUUAAGACCUGGAUCCUGAAUCUCAUUCCCCCUGGCGACCUGACCAUCAUAACCCAGAAUAGUCUUAGGAAUCUAAGGCGUAUGGAAGCAAGAUGAUUUCAAGAAGGCUGAUAGCUCGACCAGUAAACCACAUUGAAGAAGAGAAAGGAGAAAGGGAAGAGAGCUCGUGCAUAGAGAUCAACGCGUUUAGCAGCAGCAGGUAUGACGGGUUUUGGUGGUGGGGGUUUCUUGUUGGCUU